GUCGGAUAGCGCAGUAGUUAGCGCUCCGGAGUCGUAUUUGCAAGGUCACUGGUUCGAGUCUAGUGUAUGACA